AUUCGCUUUGAAGGAAACAAAUGCAGAUGGCAAGAUUACACAAAUCUCCAAUUUAUGCGUGAAACAAAAAGUCAACAUCGUGGCAGAGCCAAUCUUUGCCAGUGCUGAUCCAUCACCAGAGGCAACAACACCAAAUGCAAGUGUUUGUAUCUCUAGCUCUUCCAAAAUUUUGAGCAUCAGGUCGGACAGAUUUAAAAAGACGCUACUCAUGAUAGCGCAAACGGGAAAAGACAUCUAAAUGUGUCCACCUCCAUCUCUGAAUACAAGUCACUUGAUCCAUUGGCAGCAACCAUUCGAAAUUUGCGGCUGAAGACACGACAAGGGAUUCCUGGCAUGGUAGACUUGAAAGAGUCGUGCUUGGUUGGAGGAAAAGCUUCAUGGAUGGGCUACCUUGGAUAUAUACUGUUUGGAUGCUGAUGUUUCCCUGUUUAAUGCUGCAUUAUGAUCUGCAGUUGCUGCAUUUUCACAUUUGAACAUUCCAGUAGUGUCUUUGAAUGAUGACAGGCAAAUAGUUCUUAUUUCUAAGUUGUUUGGAUGCUGACAGUCCCUAUUUGAUGUUGCAUUGCUAUCUGCAAUUGCUUUCUUUUCACAUUUGAACAUUUGAAUAGUGUCUUUGAAUGAAGAUGGGCGAAUAGUUCUUGUUUCUGAGGACAAUGUCCAAUUGAAUUGGAGAAGCAGCCUGUAAAUACAGGGAAAUGGAACUGUCUGAAUAAGCUUUUUCCAUUCUCCUGAUUCUUUUUCUCUUGCAAACUAGACAGCAUCUUCACUAUGUUAUGCAGGUUUCUAUCUCUAUCAGUGCCACUGACUACUAUUCACAAUUACAGAUUUGAUUUUCCAUUGGUAAAUUUUCUUCCCUUGUAAAUGAUUUGUAAGUUUAUACCUUUUAAUUCCAA